GCCAGCGUGGCACAGUGAUUUGAGCACUGGACUCCGACUCUGGAGGCCAGGGUUCAAUUUCCAACUUGGUCA